UAGCUGCGGCGACGCUGUGGC
rnacentral:misc_RNA from 1 species